GGAAAGUGAAACAUUGCAUUGAAAAGAAGCUGGAUUAUGCUGCAGCACUCUCUGUGCUUUUUGGUUGCUUUUAUUUUUUAAAUAGUGGGUACCAGGAGUCAGCCAGUGCCACACUUGAGCUUAUUCAAAGUUAAAAGAAAGGUUCAAAAUGUGAAUCCACAUGACCAUACAUUUUUGCAGAGCUAUAGAGAAUUUAAAUAGAAAACAUCUGAUUAAGUUUGGAACAACAUGUGGGUCAAUGGUGACUGAGUAUUAUAUUUUGUCACUACAUAUUUUACGUGUGUGUGUAAUAUUGAAAAGGAAGAAAACAUUAUUUCUAUUUGGUUACAAUUUUUUUGAAAAUAUUAAUUUCAUUAAUUUGCUUUUAUUGAAAAUAUGCUUGAUUAAUUAAGUUACUAACAUACACUGGCAUUGUUGUUUAUUUAUUUUACUUUUGUUAUUAUAUUGUUAAGGAAAUAAGAAUACUUGUAUUUUGUUUAUAAUUUUUACUGAUGUUGUAAGAUUUUAUUUAGCCAAUUCUAUAGAUAAUGUGGU